rnacentral:sRNA from 1 species
UGUUAGUGUUUCUAUGGUCAAAAUGUGUCACAAUUCAAAGCCUUUGACUAAUUAUAAGAGUUAGAGAUGGAUUAGGAGUGUUUAGACAAUACUGCUUAGAAGCAGUAAACACUUUUGUUAGAGAUGGAUUUGGAGUGUUUAGACAACACUGCUUAGAAGCAGUAAACACCUAUUUUCUCACAAAAGAGGCUAAAACCAACAAAAAAUUGCUUAGAAGCAGUAAACACUUUUGUUAGUGUUCUUAUGGUCAGAAUGUGAUGAUAUGUCUAUAAUUUGCAUGUUUUCAGUGUCCAUUCAUCAUCGUUUUGAGUCCAGUUUCGUAUCAUUCACUGUUUUAUAUCAUUUCUCAUCAUUCUUGCAUACUUUGCAUGACUAGGAUAGCUUUGCAUACAUAUUGCAUUUCUGAGUUGUUUUCAGGUGAUUUAGAGUUGUUUGCGAGCAAAUUGGAAGAAACGAGCCAUAACCAGAAGAUAUACUCGACCACCA